AACCAAAUUGUUGUAAGUUGGAUUUGUGUGAAAAUAGUAGCCCCUUGUUCAUGGAUUGUACUUUUUAUGAGUUAUGCAUGAUUUUCACUUUGCUUUGAUAUUGUGUGUAACCAGUUUGUGUUUGUUUUUAUAUAGCUUAAAAUUUUAAGAUUCUAGCAAUAUACUAAAUAAUUUCAGGCUUCAUAUUUUUAUUUUUAUUUGUUGCUUUCUGCAGGCUCUGGGACGCAGGUGUGCACUCGAUUCGAACCUCAGAUCAUUGGCCUUGGGCGUUAAAUAAGUGCUUAAAUACAAUUAAUUUACUUCAGGAGGUUCGAAAAGUCUUUAAGAGGCUGUGAUGUUGAACAAUCGUGAGCAUGCACUACACUGACUUAUACGUUCAGUGCAAUAAAUUGUAUGCGUUGUGCAAUAAAUUAACUUUGCAUGCGUUCAGAAGGUUCUCAUUUGAAUAUUAAAUCUAAUAAAGUGAUGUUAUUAACUCUGCAGAAGCCAUUGUGUAGAUGUUGCUAUUUGCUA
rnacentral:lncRNA from 1 species